UACGGAGGGUGCAAGCGUUGCUCGGAAUUAUUGGGCGUAAAGGGUAGGUAGGUGGUCUCAUUUGUCUGGGGUGAAAGCCUUGAGCUUAACUCAAGAAGUGCCCCAGAAACGGUGAGACUAGAGUCCUGGAGAGGGUCGUGGAAUUCCCGGUGUAGCGGUGAAAUGCGUAGAGAUCGGGAGGAACACCAGAGGCGAAGGCGGCGACCUGGACAGGCACUGACACUCAAAUACGAAAGCGUGGGGAGCAAACAGG
rnacentral:rRNA from 1 species